GGUUGAUCCUGCCAGUAGUCAUAUGCUUGUCUCAAAGAUUAAGCCAUGCAUGUCUAAGUAUAAGCAAUUAUACCGUGAAACUGCGAAUGGCUCAUUAAAUCAGUUAUCGUUUAUUUGAUAGUACCUUACUACUUGGAUAACCGUGGUAAUUCUAGAGCUAAUACAUGCUGAAAACCCCAACUUCGGGAGGGGUGUAUUUAUUAGAUAAAAAACCAACGCCCUUCGGGGCUUCUUGGUGAUUCAUGAUAACUUUACGGAUCGCAUGGCCUUGCGCCGGCGACGGUUCAUUCAAA
rnacentral:rRNA from 1 species